GAUGGUGGGUCAUUGGGGUCCUUGUGCGGUGUGAGGGGAUGGAGGGUCAUCGGGGUCCUUGUGCGGUGUGAGGGGAUGGAGGGUCAUUGGGGGCCUUGUGCGGUGUGAGGGGAUGGAGGGUCAUUGUGCGGUGUGAGGGGAUGGUGGGUCAUUGGGGUCCUUGUGCGGUGUGAGGGGAUGGAGGGUCAUUGGGGGCCUUGUGCGGUGUGAGGGGACAGGGAGCGGGGGUCCGGCGGAGCUGCCCGUCCCUCAGGGCCGGGGGAGCUUCUCGGGCUCCCCGCGGGUCCCGGACCCCGCAGGGCCGCUCAGCCCCGCGCUCACGGACUUUCCCCCACCAAUUAAAACUUUGGUGUCGCUUGGGUGGGGUCUGAUGACGUUUGACAGACAAAUCUAAAGGAACAAAUUAAACAAUUUCGUUGGAAUAAAAGAUAUGGGACUCUUACCUCUGAAAGAGAACUGAAGUGAACACGCUCAACUGUUUUCUACUUUCAAAGACAAUUCUGUUUAAUUUGUCGAAAUUGAAAACACCGAGUUGAAAGCAUUAAUUUAAUUCAAAAUUUGAAGAUAUUGGCUUUUUGAACAAAUACAGGACCUUUACAUCCUGCCGUAGAGCUCUCCCAGGGCAGCGCUCCCGGCGCACACACAGGGACCCGCUGGGCUCCACCACCCACGACACAAAUUCCAGCGAGCCAUUACAAGCAAAGACCCUACCAGGUGAGCCUGGCGGUGGGGGACAGUAAAAAGGGAGAUAAGGUAGAGGAAACCACAGGAUUGGGGCUGAAUCUGAAGUCCCGGGCUGGGACAGACUGGCUCUGCUGAGAUGGACAUGGGGGCCCAGUGGGCAAUAAACAGGCUGAACAUCUGCAGCGUGUCCUGGCUGCAUCAGCACCCUGGGCUGCAUGGACAGACAUGCACCUGGCAGGAUCCAGGAAGGGAUCACUCCCUUUACCUGGCACUCGUUAGGUCACGCUGUGUUCAGGCCUUGCAGUGCAAGAAAAACAUCAAUAAACUGGAUCAAGUUCGUAGGAGAGCCAUGAAGAUGUCAGAGAAUUUUCAAUGGAGAAGAACAAGUACAAGAGCGACCCAUCCCAACAUCAAACAAGUACAGCAGGAGGCCAGACUGGCUGAGUGGAGAAUUCUGCAUCACUUUUAAAUACAAAAAUGAAGAAGAUGGGGGGUGGAAGCAGCACUGAAGCUGCCAAGAGACAUACACAGGCAUUGCAUGGACAUGCAGGGACAGAACUGGAAAAGCCAGAGUUCAGCUUGACCUGGCUGAAGAUCAAGGAAAGAAGGAAAAGUGCAGCAUGUGAACACCUUGCCCUUCCCCAGCUGCUCCAGGUUUAUAAAGAGAAAGCCGUUCUCUGCCACAAGACAGCGAGACCAUGAAAAAGGCUGAGCCAGCCUGGCCAGACACGAGGAACGGAACAGGUUACUGCAGCUGCUGGAGGAAAAUAUGUAAAUAGCUCUAUGGUGACUGGGCACCCAGCCAGCUGCAGUUGGGCUGCGGAUUUGAAAAUUAGGCGCCAAAUGGUUGCUUUGAAAAAAACCCCGGAUUUGUUGUCGUUAGUGCGGAGAUCAGUGCCAGGUUUUAUGUAACAGUGCAGGGGCGUGAGCGCUGCCUGCUCCCAUCCCACAGCUCCACCGGCGCAGCGAUGAUCUCAGUGAUUCUGGGAGCAGCGCUGGGAUUGCUCCUGGCUGAUAAAGCGUGCUUUGUGAACUCGGAGGAACCUCAUUCAGAGCCAGCCCCCACCCUCCUCCACUGUGCUCUCCGAGCUGCCAAAUGUCUAAAAGAUUCGGGGCUUGCCUGUGCUACGAGGGAGCCCGAACUCCACGGAGCGCUGAGAACCGGGGGCUGCCCUGGCAGGCUGCAGGACACUUCUAUCUUUGGACCGCUGAAAGUACAACUACAAUAAAAUCCAGCUCUGAAAGGCAAAACUCACAGUGUUAGAGACCACUGGCCCAAUAUUUCAUUAAAGGUGAUAUGAAUAAUCCCUUCCUUGAUUUAAUUUUUCUGUUCACCGCUCUGAACAGCAGCUGCUCUGCGCUGGAACGCCCACGGCUCCGGCUCCAAAGGCUGCCCCAGCCUGACGGGGAGGAAACGGGGAUGUUUUUCCUACCUGGCCAGCUCAGCUGUUUUCAGUGGUGCUUUCACAGCAUUUCAGUGCCAAGAAAUCUGUCUUCCUGUUACUUUGGAAUAAUUCCUGAACUCUGGGGAGCCAGUGAGGGUGAGACUCGGAGGUGAUGCUCCCCCGAAGGCUGGUGGGUCACCCCCGACGCGUCCUCUGCGCCCCCCGGGGAAGGCUGCGAAGGAGCUGAACUGCAGGAAACCUCCGUGUCGCUCCCGUGUGACAGACGGGGCUGGUUUUAGCAGGUGCUAUUAUAAGCAAAUCACUCUGAGGACAAAUGACAAAGUGGAAUUGUGAAAAGCUGGGGAGCCCUGAGUACUGAGCCCCCAGUGUCUUCCUUUGCCACUUUUCUGUUGAGAUGGGGGGAAUAUAUGAGAUAUAUUUUGAAGUAAAUUCUCAUUUCUUUCGGUACAAGAGUCUAAAGGGCCACCACUCACCUUCCUGCCACAAAAGAGUGAACAAUCCCAAGUACAGACUGGAAUUCUCUCCAUCCAGACCUGGUUAAUACUUCCCCCAGUGUAAUAUAACUUGACUUCCGCCUUGAUAAGGAGGUAAAUGCUGUAGCAAAAGAUUAUUAUUGUUCAAAGUUCCUGCAAAACAUUAUGUGCUGGAAUCAGAGAUAAAUACACCCUCUACAGCAUGGUGUCUUGUCUUGAAAAAAAUCCUUGUCCUACACACAGUCUGCUGUUUUCUUUAACCCCACAACUGUGCACCUUGUUCCUCUUUGCUCUUUUUUACAUCUCAGCAAACUUUGUUGUAGUGGAUGAGGACGGUUUCAUCCAUGACUCAUGGCAUACUGUUCAUUUUCUCUACUUGCUUUGGAGCUUUCUGCUCUGACAUUGCUGGAAGCAACUUUAUUCAAUGAAAGAUGAAAUUCUGGAGAACUCUGUGGUGAGGUAUGAGUGCUUCUUCCAGACUUGCAGUCAUUGCUAGCAAUUUUUUUGAGCAGUAAUGCUGAGGCUAGUUUGAGUUCAGACUGAUAAGAAAAUGUUCUGAGGCAAUCCUUGCCCCUUCCUGAAAUUAAUGACAAUAUCUGAGACAAUCAAUUAAACAUUGUCUGGCUGUUCUGAGUGAGGGGAGGAACACGAGGGGAGAGUUAGACAGCUACAGAAAAGACAGAAAUAAUCCUGCUAUUAAAGACAUACAAAUAUAAAAUGUAGAAUGAGAAGGGGGAGGACAUGGCAGCAGCUGCUGAUAAACCAAAGCAGCUGAGGUAAGAACUAGCAGUGGAAAUCCUGUAUCCCCAGAUCUGUGAAAGUGUCAUUAUGAAAUCCCAGAGUCAUUAUGAAAUCCCAGAUAGCAUCAGGAAACUAGUUACACCCAAAUGUACAGGAAACUUGUCAACGAGUGAGAAGGUGCUCUGCAUGAAAGGAUGCACAAGGUUUUCCUUUGUCUUUUACAUACUGGAACCAAUUUCUUCAUUUACCUGAUGGGAGAAGCACUCCAGUGCUAGACAGAGCCUGUCCCUGAUGUCUGUGUCUGACAUCCCAAAAAUUUAUUCUUAACCUACCCAGGCAGUUAGAUAUGUUGCAAGUGCCUUUGAGCUAGAGCUUCAAUACUGAGCCCAGGGAUCUUCCAAGUUCCUGACUUUGGAUCAGGGUGGGACCUGUACCUGCACCA